UUGACCAAAUCAUGCCUCGUGUGAUUACUGGAAAGAAGAUUUCAGGGGGUAACAAAUUGCAACACAAGAACAGUUCAUCACUCUUAAGGAAACCAGAGCAAAUAGAAUAACUUACCGUAGAGUUUUCUAAUAAAUGUGGCUACAAAACUGUGAAACCAUUAACUAUGAACAGAAUAAUUUUUAAACUUGUACGCUCAAUUGUUUAGUUUAUGUUUCUGGGACGGACAUAAAUACUGCAUCUUCUUCAAGCCAAAGCAGUGAACUGAUGCAUUUUGUUUUCUCAGUGCACAAGAGUCUUUCUUCCAAAUGUGCAACCAGAUACUUCUUUGAAGCCGCUUCUUGGGGAAACUGGUAAGAGUCUGGCUGUCUUCAAGCUAUCAACCCAGAUCUAUUGCAUUUUCGUUUUCUCAAGGAGCUACUUGCGGCAUCAGAUGAGAAAUUCUAAAAUACCUCAGAUGUACUACAACCAAUUGAUGCAUGCAUGACAAGUGUAAUUGAAUUUAAUACAACCACCACUUGCAUGAUAGUGGUUCAAAAUAAAUGCACACAUGUCAUGGUAUUAUUGCUUGUUGUAUGAAUGACAUGGUACCUCAGAUGUAUUCUAGAAUUUCUCACAUCAGAUACUAUCAAGGAUCAUAAUUGUUAUUUUGUAUCCCUAACCGAAUGUAAUUCUUACUUAUCUUUCUUCUAUUACAAAAGCUGAAGGUGUUCGCAAGAACUUGAAACAGAAUCAAUCGUUGAUAAUGAAGAUUU
rnacentral:lncRNA from 1 species